rnacentral:miRNA from 1 species
GGAUGCCCAGUUACAUUUGAAUUUCAAAUAAACAAUAAAUAACUUUCUCAUAUAAGUAUGUCCCAUGGAAUAAUUUGGGACAUACCUAUACUAAAAAGCUGUUGUUUAUCAUGUAUUUUA